UUUUCUAGUGAAUAAAGUUAAUUAUAAGAUUAAAUCAAACUUUCAAAAUACACCGAAAAGCACAGUAACUCAAAAUACUCACUGUAACCAAUAACAAAAAAUAGUUAAUCUAACAAAAUGUGGCAAAAAAAAAUUCUUUAUCGUAACUGGGAUAUUCCUGCACACGUAAAAGUGUGAUUAUUGGUGAUUUGAGACAAUUAGUGCCUUGCAAAAAUAUUAAUCUUUUUGUGCCUGUAUAAAGGUUUUCACAUUUUGUCACAUUAUUACCACAAACUAUAAAUUGUAUUGUGAUUUUGUGUCAUAUACCAACUAAUUUAAUUUGAAACACUAAAAUAAAAUUAAAUGAAUGGGGCAGCAGUUCCUCUUUUAGCAUAAGAGCAACCCUAAGCAUACAAUAACUCUACAGUGGUUUAGAUUAAGCGUGCUCAUUUUACAGAAUGGCCCAGUCAAAGUCCAGAACUAACUACAACUGUUGCAGACAUCUCUUUUCAACCCAAAAUUAUGCGCUACUUUGUGCAAAAUACCAAUAAAUCACAUUGCAGUUUGAAGUUGUAACCUGAAGGUGUAAAUACGUCAGCACUAUUUUUUUGAGCGUAGGGACACGACUGUUUAGUCCAAGUGCCAAUGACUUGUUUUAAAUCACCGGAUAAGAACGAAGGGGGGAAAAAUCCUUCCACUGACAACAAUAAAACAUAGGACAUAAUUUACUUCUGAGUAACACUACAGUGUCAUCCUCAUAAAUAACAACUGUGUUGCCGUGGCGACCAGCAGAGAAAAAAAACAGAAAACAAACAUUAAAAGCAGACAUUAAUGUAACGGCUGCAUGGCAGCCUCCAUAGAGCUCUGAGCUGUUGUGUUGUGGCUGGUUUAUGUUACUAACCAAACCUUGGACGUCCUGUUCGUCCUGCCAGCAGAGCGAGUCUGUCUGUCUCUCUGUCCAACUGUCUGGACUGGAGUUCACAGCAGGCAGAGAAAAACAAAUGCCACUCAGGUUAAACUCUGAAGUAUCGGGGGCAUUUUUUUCCAAUUGUGUUUCAGGCUGGUAUGCAACCAGUCCCUGGAAAAGUAGAUAAUCCUACGUUUAAAGUUAUUGUACAUUUGUCUCAAGUAUCCUGCUCUUCUCAAGAAUGAAUGUAAGAGUCCUCUGGUAUUUUCUUCUCCACUACGCACACAACUCACUCGCAAAUCAGGAUUCUUGCUCUCCCGGGAUUGUAAAGUUGCAAAUGUGAGGGCUUUUAUCUGUGGGUGGCAGAUAUUACGAUUAUUUAUCAUUUCCUUAUCCAUUAAUCGUUUUGUCAUCAGAAAAGAGACUCCUUUGUGUAGAAGGUGAGGAAACCACAGUGUAAAACUCAAGGGUGUUAUAACCAGUGCCAUUUCAACAGUGCUGGUGUCCCAGUCGGCGCCUGAGUCUUUUCCUUCAACACCAUCACCCAACACCCCCACCAUGAGCCGGCCCUCACAUGUUUGCAGCAUCAUAAACGAACGUUAUUGAUCUAUUUCUACAGCGUCAGCCAAAACUGUGACUAUUUUUAUUAGGAUUUUAAGUCUUUAGAUUUUAUGACUGUUCAGGAAGAAAAUAAGUCAAGUGUUAACUAAAAAAGUAGUAUGUAGUUUUGUUAUUUAUUUAUUAUUUUUUCCCUUAGCAAUACUUUGGAGAAUAAACUAUUUCAUUAAUGAGCUUCAGGUCUUUGGGUUGUGGCUGCACCAGCUUCGAACAUAUAGUGAAACGAGGCAAAAUCACAACGUUUUACUAAACUCACAGAGGAUUGAAUGAUUGAACAAAGAAAAUCUCAAACACCCGUGCCUGGAGAUCAACCCUGGAUGACUCUGAUAAAGGGAGCAGAGUGACUGAACUGUGCAACAGUUUUCAGUGCAUGCCUGGGACUGGGAAAAGAUGGCAUCCACUGCCAAACAAGAACAGCACAAAGCCCUGACUCGGGGGCUGGGAAACAGAGCCCACAGAACAAAUGAGAAGUAAACACGCAGCCACAGGAAGCCAUUUACUGCAGCAGGGGCCAAUUAGGCCCCAGCAGGUGUUCGGGACUGGGUCCUCUUUGGUCCUGCCUCACCUCCGUCUGGCAGAGCGCCGACCCAGGCUGAGGAAACAACGGGCAGUUUCAUUUGCUCAGCAAAGUAUUCCUACAGGAGGGCCCCUAAAAUCCUUUAUUGUGCCCCCUUUGUCCUCUGCCCCACCCCCUCCAAGUACAAGUCAUUAGAGAAGACAAUUACAUCCUCCUUAUGAAGCUUGACUUUUACAGGAGGGGAAGAUAAGACAGGAUCUCUCUCAUGGAAGACCCCCGGAGCGUAUUGCUGUCUUCACACCCAGACAGAAGUGAGACGGGACGGUCAAAAUCAAAGUCAAUCCCCAGGGAAGAGAGAGCAGACACAACAGGGACUGAAAUUCACAUCCAUGAAGGACCCAAAUGAUACUGUCUCUUAAAAAUAAGUGGCCCUCCAGCUGUUUAUUACAUCUUCAUGCAUUGUUCCUCUUGAACUAAAUAAACAAACCUUGGCUGGUAUCGUUUA